GUACAGAGUGAAAUAAAUAUAAUUACACGUGGGAAGAAAAAGAAAACAGCGUGAAAAAGCGAGGAAAAUGGAAUUGGAUUACGUAUAAACAUGCGGGUGAUUUUUCAGACAGACACAGGAAAGUGAAAUAUCUGUGAGGCGAUUUGGUGAAUAGAGAGAAAGCGGUCAUAACAAAAACGUAAAUAUAGAAUAUAGUAUACAGAGUAUAUAUAGACGACAGGAUGACAUUAAUUCUCCAGAAUAUAUUUACAAGAGCAGUACAAAGAAUAACUUGAUAUUACACAUAUAUAUAUAUUCGUUACAUAGACUAACGAGUAGUAGGUAUAAGCAGGUGAACAGUUUAAAUAUUAAUUGAGGCACGUGAUAAUAAGGCAUUUCUACAGAGGAUAGACACGGUCGUACGCACGUAAGAUAGAGCAUUCCAAAAAGUUAAAAAAAAAAGAAAUAUUAUGUCUACGCUAUUUCUACAGAAUUUACGAUAUAGUCAAAUAAUAUAGUUAUAUUCCUUGAUUUUUAUGGAAAUAGAAUUCUCUCUCCUAUUUUCUCCCUGCGAAUAAUUGCUUAGGAAAUUUUUUUUAACUUAAUCUAUAUAAUACUACACAAAGAUAUUUUUAACAAGAGAUUCUAUGCCUCCCCAACAUAUAGAGAUUGCUUUACAUCAGUUAAAUAGAAUUCAAAUCAAUAAGCUGUGUUAAAGUUGAACUAGUGAAUUGUUAUCCUUUUGUACAUCAUAGUACUAACUACAAUAAAAA